rnacentral:rRNA from 1 species
ACUACGGGAGGCAGCAGUGAGGAAUAUUGGUCAAUGGGCGGAAGCCUGAACCAGCCAAGUAGCGUGCAGGAUGACGGCCCUACGGGUUGUAAACUGCUUUUAUACGGGAAUAACGCGCCUUACGUGUAGGGCUUUGCAUGUACCGUAUGAAUAAGGACCGGCUAAUUCCGUGCCAGCAGCCGCGGUAAUACGGAAGGUCCGGGCGUUAUCCGGAUUUAUUGGGGUUAAAGGGAGCGUAGGCCGCAUGUCAAGCGUGCUGUGAAAUGUCCGGGCUCAACCCGGGCCUUGCAGCGCGAACUGGCGUGCUUGAGUCCGCGGAAAGCAGGCGGAAUUCGUCGUGUAGCGGUGAAAUGCUUAGAUAUGACGAAGAACCCCGAUUGCGAAGGCAGCUUGCUGCAGCGGAACUGACGCUGAUGCUCGAAAGCGCGGGUAUCGAACAGGAUUAGAUACCCUUGUAGUC